rnacentral:rRNA from 1 species
UCGAACGCCCCGUAAGGGGAGUGGCAGACGGGUGAGUAACGCGUGGGAAUCUACCCAACUCUACGGAAUAACUCAGGGAAACUUGUGCUAAUACCGUAUACGCCCUUCGGGGGAAAGAUUUAUCGGAGUUGGAUGAGCCCGCGUUGGAUUAGCUAGUUGGUGGGGUAAAGGCCUACCAAGGCGACGAUCCAUAGCUGGUCUGAGAGGAUGAUCAGCCACAUUGGGACUGAGACACGGCCCAA